CUGGGAUGGUUACGGUGAAACCUGGGGACCGCAAGGCCUGGGGCAAAAAGAGGAUCCUGCGUCUGAUUAGCUAGUUGGCGGGGUAAUGGCCCACCAAGGCGACGAUCAGUAGCCGGCCUGAGAGGGUGAUCGGCCACACUGGAACUGAGACACGGUCCAGACUCCUACGGGAGGCAGCAGUGGGGAAUUUUGCGCAAUGGACGAGAGUCUGACGCAGCAACGCCGCGUGGGUGAUGAAGGUCUUCGGAUUGUAAAACCCUGUCGUCAGGGACGAAGGUGCACGUGUUAAUAGCAUGUGCGCUUGACGGUACCUGGAGAGGAAGCCCCGGCUAACUCUGUGCCAGCAGCCGCGGUAAUACAGAGGGGGCAAGCGUUAUUCGGAAUUAUUGGGCGUAAAGGGCGCGUAGGCGGUUUUUUAAGUCAGAUGUGUAAUCCCCGAGCUCAACUUGGGAACUGCAUCUGAGACUGGAAGGCUAGAGUACUGGAGAGGGUGGUGGAAUUCCUCGUGUAGCGGUGAAAUGCGUAGAGAUGAGGAGGAACACCAGUGGCGAAGGCGGCCACCUGGACAGUAACUGACGCUGAGGCGCGAAAGUGUGG
rnacentral:rRNA from 1 species